rnacentral:rRNA from 1 species
UACGAAGGGGGCUAGCGUUGUUCGGAAUUACUGGGCGUAAAGGGCGCGUAGGCGGUACUUCAAGUCAGGCGUGAAAGCCCCGGGCUCAACCUGGGAACCGCGCUUGAGACUGGAGAACUAGAGUUCGGGAGAGGAUGGUGGAAUUCCCAGUGUAGAGGUGAAAUUCGUAGAUAUUGGGAAGAACACCGAUGGCGAAGGCAGCCAUCUGGACCGACACUGACGCUGAGGCGCGAAAGCGUGGGGAGCAAACAGGAUUAG